rnacentral:rRNA from 1 species
AAAGAGGAAAGAGCUCAGAAGAAACAGAAGAGCCUCGAUGGUCGGUACCUUUUCCGACUCAGUCGAACCUAGGUGGUCUGGAGACUGGUGGUGUAGACUCCUAGUGGGGGUUGGAGGGGGAGCCAAAGGUUGAAGGACCAGAAAUGGACACCCGUGGAGCACCGACCCUGCUGCGAACCAAACCUAGGGGCACACGGAGCAGCUAGAGGGCCCGGCCAGUUACCCUCGUCCCGGGAUUAUCGUCGACGCACUACCUCCUACGCUCGAGCAGCUUGAGCGCCAUGGAAAGGUCAAACGCAGGUACCCCCGCUACUUCAUCACCUAGAGCAAGGGGAAUCGAGGACGCGCUAAAACACUUAGAACCCCCACAACAGGCAGGGGUUCGCGGCUCGGUCUCCGCAGUUACGACAGGGGUUCGCUCCGUGGGCUGCGUAGCAGAAGUAGGAGUUGUCGGCGUCGGGCCGAAGCCGUAACGUAAGAAGGUGGACGUCCAGGUUGUAGACGUAGCUCGUCGUCACACAGCCAAACUACCCUCUUCAGCCAAAAGUCAGGGAGGACCUCCGGUACGUCAAAUACCGCAUACAGACGCAGGUCCGGCCACGAAACACCUGUCUGGAAGUUUUAAGUCCUGUAGAAUCUCCUCUUUCCAUCCCAAGAGACCUCCUUCAAACCCACGGAGCCUCAUCGUCCUUAAGGACUCAUAUAGAACUUCCUCCAGAAAGAAAGACCAUUUCAUAGAAAACAAAUACAUCUACAGGUAGACAUGAGAUUAGAUCAUCAUUACUUUAUUAUCAAAGAAGAGCCUACGUACAAGACGAAAGUACAUUCUACAUUGUAGUCUAACUUAACAUUUCCUUUCUUUUGUACCGCGAAGUAGUUGAAGAUAUGCAA